CCUACGGGGGGCACCAGUGGGGAAUAUUGGACAAUGGGCGAAAGCCUGAUCCAGCAAUGCCGCGUGUGUGAAGAAGGUCUUCGGAUUGUAAACCACUUUCGACGGGAACGAUGAUGACGGUACCCGUAGAAGAAGCCCCGGCUAACUUCGUGCCAGCAGCCGCGGUAAUACGAAGGGGGCUAGCGUUGCUCGGAAUGACUGGGCGUAAAGGGCGCGUAGGCGGUUUAUGCAGUCAGAUGUGAAAUCCCCGGGCUUAACCUGGGAACUGCAUUUGAGACGCAUAGACUAGAGGUCGAGAGAGGGUUGUGGAAUUCCCAGUGUAGAGGUGAAAUUCGUAGAUAUUGGGAAGAACACCGGUGGCGAAGGCGGCAACCUGGCUCGAUACUGACGCUGAGGCGCGAAAGCGUGGGGAGCAAACAGGAUUAGAUACCCGCGUAGUC
rnacentral:rRNA from 1 species